UUAAGCGACUAAGCGUACACGGUGGAUGCCCUGGCAGUCAGAGGCGAUGAAGGACGUGCUAAUCUGCGAAAAGCGUCGGUAAGGUGAUAUGAACCGUUACAGCCGGCGAUGUCCGAAUGGGGAAACCCAGUGCAAUUCGUUGCACUAUCGUUAACUGAAUACAUAGGUUAACGAGGCGAACCGGGGGAACUGAAACAUCUAAGUACCCCGAGGAAAAGAAAUCAACCGAGAUUCCCCCAGUAGCGGCGAGCGAACGGGGAGCAGCCCAGAGUCUGAAUCAGCUUGUGUGUUAGUGGAACGGUCUGGAAAGUCCGACGGUACAGGGUGAUAGUCCCGUACACCAAAAUGCACAGGCUGUGAACUCGAAGAGUAGGGCGGGACACGUGGUAUCCUGUCUGAAUAUGGGGGGACCAUCCUCCAAGGCUAAAUACUCCUGACUGACCGAUAGUGAACCAGUACCGUGAGGGAAAGGCGAAAAGAACCCCGGCGAGGGGAGUGAAAAAGAACCUGAAACCGUGUACGUACAAGCAGUGGGAGCACCUUCGGGUGUGACUGCGUACCUUUUGUAUAAUGGGUCAGCGACUUAUAUUCUGUAGCAAGGUUAACCGUAUAGGGGAGCCGCAGGGAAACCGAGUCUUAACUGGGCGUUAAGUUGCAGGGUAUAGACCCGAAACCCGGUGAUCUAGCCAUGGGCAGGUUGAAGGUUGGGUAACACUAACUGGAGGACCGAACCGACUAAUGUUGAAAAAUUAGCGGAUGACUUGUGGCUGGGGGUGAAAGGCCAAUCAAACCGGGAGAUAGCUGGUUCUCCCCGAAAGCUAUUUAGGUAGCGCCUCGUGAAUUCAUCUUCGGGGGUAGAGCACUGUUUCGGCUAGGGGGUCAUCCCGACUUACCAACCCGAUGCAAACUACGAAUACCGAAGAAUGUUAUCACGGGAGACACACGGCGGGUGCUAACGUCCGUCGUGAAGAGGGAAACAACCCAGACCGCCAGCUAAGGUCCCAAAGUCAUGGUUAAGUGGGAAACGAUGUGGGAAGGCACAGACAGCCAGGAUGUUGGCUUAGAAGCAGCCAUCAUUUAAAGAAAGCGUAAUAGCUCACUGGUCGAGUCGGCCUGCGCGGAAGAUGUAACGGGGCUAAACCAUGCACCGAAGCUGCGGCAGCGACACUAUGUGUUGUUGGGUAGGGGAGCGUUCUGUAAGCCUGCGAAGGUGUGCUGUGAGGCAUGCUGGAGGUAUCAGAAGUGCGAAUGCUGACAUAAGUAACGAUAAAGCGGGUGAAAAGCCCGCUCGCCGGAAGACCAAGGGUUCCUGUCCAACGUUAAUCGGGGCAGGGUGAGUCGACCCCUAAGGCGAGGCCGAAAGGCGUAGUCGAUGGGAAACAGGUUAAUAUUCCUGUACUUGGUGUUACUGCGAAGGGGGGACGGAGAAGGCUAUGUUAGCCGGGCGACGGUUGUCCCGGUUUAAGCAUGUAGGCUGGUUAUCCAGGCAAAUCCGGAUAAUCAAGGCUGAGGUGUGAUGACGAGGCACUACGGUGCUGAAGUAACAAAUGCCCUGCUUCCAGGAAAAGCCUCUAAGCAUCAGGUAACAUCAAAUCGUACCCCAAACCGACACAGGUGGUCAGGUAGAGAAUACCAAGGCGCUUGAGAGAACUCGGGUGAAGGAACUAGGCAAAAUGGUGCCGUAACUUCGGGAGAAGGCACGCUGGUGUGUAGGUGAAGUCCCUGCGGAUGGAGCUGAGACCAGUCGAAGAUACCAGCUGGCUGCAACUGUUUAUUAAAAACACAGCACUGUGCAAACACGAAAGUGGACGUAUACGGUGUGACGCCUGCCCGGUGCCGGAAGGUUAAUUGAUGGGGUUAUCCGUAAGGAGAAGUUCUUGAUCGAAGCCCCGGUAAACGGCGGCCGUAACUAUAACGGUCCUAAGGUAGCGAAAUUCCUUGUCGGGUAAGUUCCGACCUGCACGAAUGGCGUAAUGAUGGCCAGGCUGUCUCCACCCGAGACUCAGUGAAAUUGAACUCGCUGUGAAGAUGCAGUGUACCCGCGGCAAGACGGAAAGACCCCGUGAACCUUUACUAUAGCUUGACACUGAACAUUGAGCCUUGAUGUGUAGGAUAGGUGGGAGGCUUUGAAGCGUGGACGCCAGUCUGCGUGGAGCCAACCUUGAAAUACCACCCUUUAAUGUUUGAUGUUCUAACGUUGGCCCCUUACCGGGGUUGCGGACAGUGUCUGGUGGGUAGUUUGACUGGGGCGGUCUCCUCCCAAAGCGUAACGGAGGAGCACGAAGGUUAGCUAAUCCUGGUCGGACAUCAGGAGGUUAGUGCAAUGGCAUAAGCUAGCUUGACUGCGAGCGUGACGGCGCGAGCAGGUGCGAAAGCAGGUCAUAGUGAUCCGGUGGUUCUGAAUGGAAGGGCCAUCGCUCAACGGAUAAAAGGUACUCCGGGGAUAACAGGCUGAUACCGCCCAAGAGUUCAUAUCGACGGCGGUGUUUGGCACCUCGAUGUCGGCUCAUCACAUCCUGGGGCUGAAGUAGGUCCCAAGGGUAUGGCUGUUCGCCAUUUAAAGUGGUACGCGAGCUGGGUUUAGAACGUCGUGAGACAGUUCGGUCCCUAUCUGCCGUGGGCGCUGGAGAAUUGAGGGGGGCUGCUCCUAGUACGAGAGGACCGGAGUGGACGCAUCACUGGUGUUCGGGUUGUCAUGCCAAUGGCACUGCCCGGUAGCUAAAUGCGGAAGAGAUAAGUGCUGAAAGCAUCUAAGCACGAAACUUGCCCCGAGAUGAGUUCUCCCUGAGACUUUAAGUCUCCUGAAGGAACGUUGAAGACGACGACGUUGAUAGGCCGGGUGUGUAAGCGCAGCGAUGCGUUGAGCUAACCGGUACUAAUGAACCGUGAGGCUUAACCUU
rnacentral:rRNA from 1 species